UUGUAACCAAAUUUAAAUAGAUUAAAUGAAAAUUGGAUUGAAUUUUUUUAAAACAAAAAUGACGUUCAAGCCGCACGAGAAAAUAUCGUUACUUUCUGAGGGACUUAACAAUAAUAAAUAAAUUUGGAAAAAAAUACGUGUCAUUUAAAAAUAAAAUGAAAAGGCUUUUUUUGAUCAUUUAAUUUGUUAUAGUGGUCUUGAUACUUUGUUUUUCUUACCAUUUGGACCUUAGAAUUUUCCAUAAAAACAUUAAAAUUAUUAAGCUGUUUAACCCAUUAAUUUGGUUACAAAUGCUUAAAAAGAGAUAAGAACUGGUCUGUGAGGUAAUGAUUUAACCUAGGAACAACAUCUAAUCAAUUGUCCAUUAUAGUUCUACCUUAACUAUCAAAAUAGUUACCUUCAAAUUCAUCCCUUCCUCCAAUUAGUUUAACCCCACCUUCGACUUUUUUAAGUCUUUUGAGAUGUUUUUUCACGAGAAAAGCUUUUUUGCGUUUUGAAUUAUCAAAGUUGGAGGCAAAUAGAAGACUGGGAGACGAUAAAACCAUUAAAAGAAUUGUAACAUUCAUGAUUUUAUUAUAAAUGUGAUUGAGAACAACCCAGAUUUGUGCGUGCCACUGACAGUUGACCUCUUAUCAACGCCUCUUACUUAACUCGAAAUAAUGACGAAAACAAUGCCGAGGCAUUUGGUUUUGUGGUUGACAAUAAAACGCUGUUAUGAUUUAGAUGUUUAAUUAAUUAUCAAAAAUCAUUUCAAUACAAAGUCAAAACAGGCAUAAUUUAAAAAAAAGUUUGGUUGGACAGUCAACGUGAGUCAGGAAUUGUUUCCUGGAGUAUACAUACAAACGUUUGGACGUUUUUUUUUAAAUUCACUCUGUUUAAUGAUCUCACAGUGACGGACCAACGAAUUUACAAAAAACAGUCGCUCAAAAAAUGUAUAAAUUAAAUAAAAAAACAAUACAAACUGCUUAUACAUACAAUUGAAAGUUAAUGGAUUUCUAUCCUAAUAUUUGAGCUUAAUGUAGACAAAUUCUUGGGCAAGUUAAAAUCUGUUUUGAACUUUAUUAUUGGGCCGUUGAAAUCAAGUCCUGGUAGACACAAACACACAGAUAAAAUAUCACAAUAAAAUAAUAUAAAAGGUCUUUUUUCUUCCUUCUUGAAAUACAUCAAUUAUCUAAUCCAUUAGGUGACGUGAUUGUGGAAUGAAAACAAAACAACAUUCAAAUACGUUUUUGAGACAACUAA